GUCCAGGGUAGCCUAGUGGACAUGGCAUCUGCCCGGUAAGCGGAACACUGUGGGUUCGAUUCCCAUUGCUGGACA